UACGUAGGGUGCGAGCGUUAAUCGGAAUUACUGGGCGUAAAGCGUGCGCAGGCGGUUCGUUAAGUCAGACGUGAAAUCCCUCAGCUUAACUGGGGAACUGCGUCUGAUACUGGAUGGCUUGAGAUUGGGAGAGGGAUGCGGAAUUCCAGGUGUAGCGGUGAAAUGCGUAGAUAUCUGGAGGAACACCGGUGGCGAAGGCGGCAUCCUGGACCAACACUGACACUGAGGAGCGAAAGCCAGGGGAGCAAACGGG
rnacentral:rRNA from 1 species